CAAAAACAUGUCUAAUAGAUUAUAUAAUUUUUAGUCAAAUCUGCUCAAUGAAUUUUAAAUAGCUGCAGUAUAAAUAACUGUACUAAGGUAGCAUAAUAAAUAGUUUCUUAAUUAGAAACUUGUAUGAAAGAUUUAAUGAAAAAUUAACUUUAUUUAUUAAAAAAAAUUUAAUUUUUAUUUAAAUAAAAAUAUUUAAAUAAAAUAAAUAAACAAAAAGACCCUAAAAACUUUAUAAAUUUUAUAAAUACAUUUAUUUAAUUGGGGAAAUUAAAAAAAUUAAAAAAUUUUUUUAUUAUAAACAAUAAUAUUUGAAAAAAAUAAUUUUAAUAAAAUAAAUAAAAAAGUUACUUUAGGGAUAACAGUAUAAUUUUUUUUUUUAGAUCAAAUAAAUAAAAAAGUUUAUGACCUC
rnacentral:rRNA from 1 species